rnacentral:lncRNA from 1 species
GCGAAAAUUUCAAUGAUUCUUUCAUCCCAGGACGGAGAGACCAGUUGAUUGGAAAUGGCUCUGGUUGUGUCAAUCAAAUCAGCCAUCCUUGUGGCCGUGAUCCUACAGGCAGUGUUUAUUGGAUUGAGCAGACCAGACUCCUCUUCCAGCAGCAGCACAACCAAAGAGCCAAACAUUCACAUCGAAAGCUGUAAUCAAACGUGCAAUCCUUCAAAAAAUCUCACAUGUUCAAAUGGAACCUGCUUCUGCGUACUUGUGAACAACGCUACCGAAGGCACUUGUUACACCUGGUCGGGAGACGGAAUCGAU